rfam:Cricetulus griseus cell line CHO-K1, whole genome shotgun sequence.
GGAAGUGAGGACAAUGUGUCUGUGACACUUGGUACCACACUGAUUUCUAGGGUUGAUUUGAUUUGUUGGCUGUGGUAGGCUAGGUGUUUGUUCACCUCCUCACUCUGCUCCAAGUGUCUCCUUUGCAAAUCUGUGCACUUGAUGGGAGGAGAUGACAUUCUUGCAGAGAGGAGGACUAUUCUUUAACCAAGGAUAUGCAAGUAGCUGUGCUUUUGGCAAGAACCUCAAACAGGCCUUCAAGAGACAAUACACGCAAAGGAAGCCUGGACACGCUGUAACUGGGCUCAGUACCUCUCCAUAGCUGUUGUUUCCCUGG